CCUUACCAACGUCUGCUCCAGUCUCCUAUCGACGGUAACUGGGCUCCUCAACAACCACUGCGUAAUUGCUAUUCCGUCUAACCACCGCAACCGCCAUAGCUCGUCGUACAGCAAGGUUCGACCCCGGCUCAGCACAAGUGCCAGUGCCCACUCGAUGCACUGUGCUGCAUCCGACCAGCAAAACCCGUAGCCAGCGGUGUGAAAGUCGGCCAAAUGGAACUCCUCAGAGUGCAAGUGAUCGUGAUGGUAAUUGCAGUGCGAUAGUGUUAGUGGCAAUGGUCUGUGACCACUAUUUGACUUAUGUUACCAUUUGUGACCAAAUAUUUAAUUGUUAUCAACAAAUUUGAAAAUAUGUGACCUAUAAAUUUUUAGAUUUGUGACCA